rnacentral:rRNA from 1 species
UACGGAGGGAGCUAGCGUUGUUCGGAAUUAUUGGGCGUAAAGGGCGCGUAGGCGGUGCGGUAAGUCACCUGUGAAACCUCUAGGCUUAACCUAGAGCCUGCAGGCGAAACUGCCGUGCUUGAGGGUGGGAGAGGUGCGUGGAAUUCCCGGUGUAGCGGUGAAAUGCGUAGAUAUCGGGAAGGAACACCUGUGGCGAAAGCGGCGCACUGGACCACAUCUGACGCUGAGGCGCGAAAGCUAGGGGAGCAAACAGG